AUGACCAAUGAUCACAUAGGCUACCUUCAAGGAGGCCGCAGGACUGGAGUUACUGUAAAAGACGUGAACCAGCAGGAGUUCGUCAGAGCUCUGGCAGCCUUCCUCAAAAAGUCUGGGAAGCUGAAAGUCCCCAAAUUGGUGGACACAGUCAAGCUGGCCAAGCAUAAGCAGCUUACUCCCUACCUUGAGAACUGGUUCUACACACAAGCUACUUCCACAGCACAGGACCUGUACCUCCGGGGCAGUGCUGGGGUUGGCUCAUGACCAAGAUCUACGGGGGACGUUGGAGAAACAGCAUCGUGCCCAGCCACUUCAGCUGAGGCUCCAAGAAUGUGGCCCGUGGGGUCCUCCAAGCCCUGGAGGGGCUGAAAAUCGUGGAAAAGGACCAAGAUGGAGGCCACAAACUGACACCUCAGGGACAGAGAGAUCUAGACUGAAUCGCCAGACGGGUGGCAGCUACCAACAAGAAGCAUUACAACAAAUGAUGCUGAGUUAAU